GCUUAACACAUGCAAGUCGAACGGUCUCUUCGGAGAUAGUGGCGGACGGGUGAGUAACGCGUAAGAAUCUACCUAUAGGUUCGGGACAACAGUUAGAAAUGACUGCUAAUACCGGAUAUGCCUUCGGGUGAAAGUUUUAAUGCCUGUAGAUGAGCUUGCGUCCGAUUAGCUAGAUGGAGUGGUAACGGCACACCAUGGCGACGAUCGGUAACUGGUCUGAGAGGAUGACCAGUCACACUGGAACUGAGACACGGUCCAGACUUCUACGGGAGGCAGCAGUGGGGAAUUUUCCGCAAUGGGCGAAAGCCUGACGGAGCAAUACCGCGUGAGGGACGAAGGUCUGUGGAUUGUAAACCUCUUUUGUUAGGGAAGAUAAUGACGGUACCUAACGAAUAAGUAUCGGCUAACUCCGUGCCAGCAGCCGCGGUAAGACGGAGGAUGCAAGCGUUAUCCGGAAUUAUUGGGCGUAAAGCGUACGUAGGCUGUUAGAUAAGUCUGUUGUCAAAGAGCGAGGCUUAACCUCGUAAAGGCAAUGGAAACUGUCUGACUAGAGAGAGAAAGGGGCAGGAGGAAUUCCAGGUGUAGCGGUGAAAUGCGUAGAUAUCUGGAAGAACACCAGUGGCGAAAGCGUCCUGCUGGAUCUCAACUGACGCUGAAGUACGAAAGCUAGGGGAGCGAAUGGGAUUAGAUACCCCAGUAGUCCUAGCCGUAAACGAUGGGUACUAGGUGUUGGCCGUAUCGACCCGGUCAGUGCCG
rnacentral:rRNA from 1 species